rnacentral:rRNA from 1 species
AUUGAACGCUGGCGGCAGGCCUAACACAUGCAAGUCGAACGGUAACAGGAAGCAGCUUGCUGCUUCGCUGACGAGUGGCGGACGGGUGAGUAAUGUCUGGGAAACUGCCUGAUGGAGGGGGAUAACUACUGGAAACGGUAGCUAAUACCGCAUAACGUCGCAAGGCCAAAGAGGGGGACCUUAGGGCCUCUUGCCAUCGGAUGUGCCCAGAUGGGAUUAGCUGGUAGGUGGGGUAACGGCUCACCUAGGCGACGAUCCCUAGCUGGUCUGAGAGGAUGACCAGCCACACUGGAACUGAGACACGGUCCAGACUCCUACGGGAGGCAGCAGUGGGGAAUAUUGCACAAUGGGCGCAAGCCUGAUGCAGCCAUGCCGCGUGUAUGAAGAAGGCCUUCGGGUUGUAAAGUACUUUCAGCGGGGAGGAAGGGAGUAAAGUUAAUACCUUUGCUCAUUGACGUUACCCGCAGAAGAAGCACCGGCUAACUCCGUG